UUCUGACCGUAAACGAUGCCAACUCGCGAUCCGCCGGCGGAUUACAAAAGCCCUGGUGGGGAGCGUCCCGGAAACGAAAGUCUUCCGGUUCCGGGGGAAGUAUGGUUGCAAAGCUGAAACUUAAAGGAAUUGACGGAAGGGCACCACCAGGAGUGGAGCCUGCGGCUUAAUUUGACUCAACACGGGAAAACUCACCCGGCCCGGACACCGCGAGGAUUGACAGAUUGAUAGCUCUUUCAUGAUUCGGUGGAUGGUGGUGCAUGGCCGUUCUUAGUUCGUGGAGCGAUUUGUCUGGUUUAUUCCGAUAACGAGCGAGACUCUAGCCUACUAAAUAGUCCGCACAUUCCACUGUGUGCCGCUUGGACUUCUUAGAGGGAUUUUCGGCGUCCAAAGCCGCACGAAACUGAGCAAUAACAGGUCUGUGAUGCCCUUAGAUGUCCGGGGCUGCACGCGCGCUACACUGGCGAAAUCAGCGUGCCUGUCCUCUCGCGAAAGCGACUGGUAAACCGGUGAAAAUUCGCCGUGAUUGGGAUCGGAAAUUGCAAUUAUUUUCCGUGAACGAGGAAUUCCAAGUAAGUGCUAGUCAUCAACUCGCGUUG
rnacentral:rRNA from 1 species